UUCGGACUGCAGUCUGCAACUCGACUGCACGAAGCUGGAAUCGCUAGUAAUCGCGGAUCAGCACGCCGCGGUGAAUACGUUCCCGGGCCUUGUACACACCGCCCGUCACACCAUGGAAGUCUGCAAUGCCCGAAGCCGGUGGCCUAACCACUUAUGUGGAAGGAGCCGUCUAAGGCAGGGCAGAUGACUGGGGUGAAGUCGUAACAAGGUAGC
rnacentral:rRNA from 1 species